GACAAGAUGGCCGAGUUGGUUUAAGGCGCCAGAUUUAAGAUUUUGGAAACAGACUUUCUUUCUCUGGUAUCGAGAGAUGCGUGGGUUCGAAUCCCGCUCUUGUCA